AGAGUGGCGCACGGGUGCGUAACACGUUUGCGAACCUACCCUCGUGACUGGGGAAUAGCUCACCGAAAGGUGGAUUAAGUACCGCAGUAACAUUCCAGCAGGGCAUCCCGCAGGAAUUAAACCUCCGGGGGUCAGAGACGGGCAUGCGUCCGAUUAGUUUGUUGGUGAGGUAACGGCUCACCAAGACCACGAUCGGUAGGGGGUCUGAGAGGAUGAUCCCCCACACUGGUACUGAGACACGGACCAG
rnacentral:rRNA from 1 species